AUGACUAUGAAGCUGGCUGCAGUACAAGUUGCCCUAGUGGAAGCAAUCCGUUGCACUCUCAAUUGAACAUACCUGAUUUGAAAAAGGAUGAGGCCGCAGAAACUCAAUACCAGUACAAUGGGGGAGUUGUAAUUAAUAUUCUCCGACAUUGGAGGUUUCAGGGGAGAGGCUGAGGCGGAAGAAUAGGUAGCAGAGGAACAGGAGAUGGGGAACGAAGCGAAAAACGAAAAAAGACUAGUGUUGAAGAGAAAUAUGGCCUGAUGAGGGGUGGAUGGUGAUGGGGGCAUGGAGGAUGAGAGAUAUGGCUGAUUAUGUUGAUUAGGUUAAUAUUUGUUUUGAAUAUCAGUAUUCUUUUAUUUGCAUUUUGUAUCAUUAAGAUAAUUUUAUGUUUUUUAAUGAAGGCGCUUUUUUAGUUUUAAUACCUACUUUG